rnacentral:rRNA from 1 species
AGAAUCAACGCUGGCGGCGUGCCUAACACAUGCAAGUCGAACGAGAAAGUGGAGCAAUCCAUGAGUAAAGUGGCGCACGGGUGAGUAACACGUGACUAACCUACCUUUUAGUGGGGGAUAACCUAGGGAAACCUGGGCUAAUACCGCAUAACACUUACGAGUCAAAGCAGCAAUGCGCUGAAAGAGGGGUCGCGGCCGAUUAGCUAGUUGGCGGGGUAAUGGCCCACCAAGGCAGUGAUCGGUA